CGAGUGGCGGACGGGUGAGUAAUGUCUGGGAAACUGCCCGAUGGAGGGGGAUAACUACUGGAAACGGUAGCUAAUACCGCAUAAUGUCUACGGACCAAAGCGGGGGACCUCCGGGCCUCGCGCCAUCAGAUGAACCCAUAUGGGAUUAACUUGUAGGUAAGGUAACGGCUUACCUAGGCGACGAUCCCUAGCUGGUCUGAGAGGAUGAUCAGCCACACUGGGACUGAGACACGGCCCAG
rnacentral:rRNA from 1 species